UACGAAGGGGGCUAGCGUUGCUCGGAAUCACUGGGCGUAAAGGGUGCGUAGGCGGGUUUUUAAGUCAGGGGUGAAAUCCUGGAGCUCAACUCCAGAACUGCCUUUGAUACUGAAGAUCUUGAGUUCGGGAGAGGUGAGUGGAACUGCGAGUGUAGAGGUGAAAUUCGUAGAUAUUCACAAGAACACCAGUGGCGAAGGCGGCUCACUGGCCCGAUACUGACGCUGAGGCACGAAAGCGUGGGGAGCAAACAGG
rnacentral:rRNA from 1 species